GCAAAUCUUUCUGGAGAGAUUGAAGAGGUACGAUCCUGUUCUUGAAGCUGUGAUAACUUUUACUGAUGAAUUAGCUUAUAAGCAAGCAAGAGAAGCUGAUGAAUUGAUUGCCAAAGGAGUGUAUUUGGGACCUCUCCAUGGGAUUCCUCAUGGACUGAAGGAUAUUAUAGCAGUACCUGGAUACAAGACAACAUGGGGUUCAAGAAGUUUCAAAGAUCAAGUUCUUAACAUUGAAGCUUGGGUGUACAAGAGGUUUCAAACAUAUGUGAAAGUAUUUUUAUUGCAAUCAGAAUGCACAUUGAUUACGUUCUUUUUAU
rnacentral:misc_RNA from 1 species